UAUAAUUAUCACCAACCUCAGAUGACACCCUGAAAUGGUAUGUCUUUGGUUACCCUGAGGAUGGCCCCACGCAGACCUCUUCCCAGAUAACGGCCCUGAGAGCAGCAGGUUUGGGACAAGAGAUCGUGGUUAACUUUUACCUGACAGACCCAGCUGAGAUCCCUCCCGCCUCAUGAUAUAAGAUGUCACUGCCAGAGACAUGUCUGACCAUCAGACAGCGGUUAGCCACCCCACUUGUGAACUUCCCUCCUACUCUCCCAGUCCUGGGAGUGUGACCCGGCACACGGGCGGCAUGGCUCGCCCUUGGCAACAGCAGACCUUCUCCUCCUGCCAAAGCAGCCUUGGUCUAAAGCACAAAAUGCUCUUGAGCCUGAUCUCUUAGACCCGGAUCUGGAGUGAUGGAUUCGCUUUUCCCCUGGCCAUAAGGUAACCUGACCUGAUUAUUGUCCUGACAUGACCUCGUGGCACUGGAAUCUCAGGGCUGGGCCAUGCUCUAACUCCAGUGGCCACAUAAAGUGACAUUGCUCCUUUGUCCUAAUGCAGGAUUGCCACAUAAAAUACAGGACACCCAGUUUAAUCUGACUUUCAGACAAAUAACAUGUAACGUGUUAGUAUAAGUAAGUCCCAAAUAUUGCAUAAGA